AGCAGUGUAGCGUAAUGGUUAAGGUGCUGGCUUUGCAAUGCAGGGGUCAUGAGUUCAAUUCUCAGAGUGAAUGAUGCUG